rnacentral:lncRNA from 1 species
CUUGAGUUUCCACCGGAGAGGUCACCGGAUCAUUCACUAUGGGUGUCGCCGGAUCGGGAUAAGGCCUUCUCAUUUUUCCUCCUCCUUUUUCUAGGCUCGCCGUCGCCGGAUUUGGUCUGAUAAGCCACCGGAUUCGCAGAGGAUAGAGUCUCCCUUGCUCUCCAAUUGGUCUUCUUAUUUCACCGACUGUCGAUGACUGUGGCCGCCGUCGAGGCCAUCCCCUGGUCGGCGCUGUGUCGCCGUUGGCCACCUGC